rnacentral:rRNA from 1 species
AGUGAACGCUGGCGGUAGGCCUAACACAUGCAAGUCGAACGGCAGCACAGGAGAGCUUGCUCUCUGGGUGGCGAGUGGCGGACGGGUGAGGAAUACAUCGGAAUCUACUCUGUCGUGGGGGAUAACGUAGGGAAACUUACGCUAAUACCGCAUACGACCUACGGGUGAAAGCAGGGGAUCUUCGGACCUUGCGCGAUUGAAUGAGCCGAUGUCGGAUUAGCUAGUUGGCGGGGUAAAGGCCCACCAAGGCGACGAUCCGUAGCUGGUCUGAGAGGAGAGUCAGCCACACUGGAACUGAGACACGGUCCAGACUCCUACGGGGGGCGGCAGUGGGGAAUAUUGGACAAUGGGCGCAAGCCUGAUCCAGCCAUACCGCGUGGGUGAAGAAGGCCUUCGGGUUGUAAAGCCCUUUUGUUGGGAAAGAAAUCCAGCUGGCUAAUACCCGGUUGGGAUGACGGUACCCAAAGAAUAAGCACCGGCUAACUUCGUGCCAGCCGCCGCAGUAACAC